rnacentral:lncRNA from 1 species
AAAUUUAGGUAGUCCAGUGCCUAAGUACAGUGAGUUGCUUGCAAGUCACUGUGGCAGUCUCAAGUCAGAGGGACAGUUAUACCCAUAUCCCAUCGGAGCAAAUCUUGACAGCAGAAAAAGCUCCGAAGUCGGUCAUGUUCAAUGCAGAUGUACCCUUACAUCUCACCUGUAUGCUAUACCAGUGUCUCCACACUCCUUGAUUAAGAAGACAACCAACCC